CUCCAAAAACCCAACUUUGCAAAGAUAUGGCAUCGUCAGAAGAAAUGGGGUGCAAUCUAAUGUUGACAGUGUGGAUGAGAGUGGGACACCUGCCAGUUGUUUGCAUCAGCAGACACUCAGAGUCCAUGGAAAAAAUGAGCCUAGAGGUUUUUAAACCACAACACAAGCAAAAGGCACCUGGUCCCGUUCCUCUUAAGACAGAAGAAAGAGGCGUAAAACCAGCUCCAGGUGCCACCCUUAAGAAAUGUUACAGUGCCGGAUGGGAAGAGUAAACCCUGAACAUCUCUUCUUAAUACUUUACAGACUUCAAGUGUAUUUUAUGGUGACAAAGCAUAUUGAAGACAAAUGAAACUCUACAACCCUGAAAACCAGCCUGAAUUAUUUUGAGAGACAGACAGUGGCUGCAAGGAGAAGCGUCGGGAUUUUCUGGGCUGGCCAUCUCCAGUGUCACUGACCCCGGUCUACCCCUGCAUGUUUGUUUACGGGAAAGGAGUUGAGGAGGAGGAUGUAUGGCUGAGAGCCUGAAAAUAAUCCAGGGCAGGUGGAGCGAGGAGAGGACUUUACUCCUCACACUCAUGUAGGCAUCCUGAAAAGCCACUUUUCUUUCCAAGGUGGGCACGGGCCUUGAGCUUGGAGUGGA
rnacentral:lncRNA from 1 species